rnacentral:lncRNA from 1 species
UUUUCCCAUCCACAAGUGUGUGAAACUUUUGACCACUGAUUUGGCCUGGUGGACAGUGUCAUUGGUCCCCUUUGCUCUCUGACUAUAGUGGUAACACUGUUCCUACAAAUUAAAAACACACACAAGGGAUGUAUGCAGAUUAUCAGCUCAUGACGGUAGACAAUUUGGAAUUUGUAAGUUCUGGAUCCCUGAACUUGAUUCCAUAAUUGUUUCUUUUACAUAAAUAAAUUGAUAAGAUGUGAACCUUUUGGCUAGCUAGUUCUGAAGGUACAGUUAUAAUGACAUUAGGUGUGCUGAGCCUCUUCCUUAAAAAAGAGAGAGAGGAAAUGCUAGUAUUAUGAUUUUUGUUCCCUUUCAACAAAUUUCUACGUUGAUCCCUCCAUGUGUUGCCUUGAUCCUAAUCUUUGUAUGUACUGCUACUUACUAUUUCCAUUAAAUAUACCUGGACAUCUCGAGGACUACUUAUAUUUAAAUAUAAACAGGAAAACAUGUACUAGCAAAAGCACCAGAGAAUAUUACCAGAACCAUCUCACCAGUGUUCCCUGGCAGGACAAGCUGGUAGGCCCACCUAGCAGGACAGGCUGUUUCCUUGUGAGAUCUGAUGACAGCACUCUCCAAAAUCCAAAUGCUUAUCCCCUCCCACUCCCAGCCCGGUCUCUCUCUAGAACUUGAGAGGAUCUUUUGUAGUAUUCUUUCUGCAUGAAACUGCUUAUGAAUGCAGGAAAAUGACAUGGUCACCAUUCAGUACUCUGAAGACACUGCACUUGGUGGGCCCCACAGCUGAGCUACACCCAG